rnacentral:rRNA from 1 species
UACGAAGGGGGCUAGCGUUGUUCGGAAUCACUGGGCGUAAAGCGCACGCAGGCGGCUCGAUAAGUCGGGGGUGAAAGCCCGGGGCUCAACCUCGGAAUUGCCUUCGAUACUGUCGGUCUCGAGUCCGGGAGAGGUGAGUGGAAUUCCUAGUGUAGAGGUGAAAUUCGUAGAUAUUAGGAAGAACACCAGUGGCGAAGGCGGCUCUCUGGCCUGGUACUGUCGCUCAGGUGCGAAAGCGUGGGGAGCAAACAGG